rnacentral:tRNA from 1 species
GCCUCCGUAGCUUAGUAGCUAUAGCGGCGGUUUCGUAAACCGCAGGUCGAGGGUGCAACUCCCUUCGGAGGCU